rnacentral:lncRNA from 1 species
GCCUCCAGCAUUUCAUCGGUUACACUUUAGGUUUUCCUACCCCAGCACUGCUUCCUACAGAGGCUCUGUCUCAGUUUUCCAGCUGGGACAUAGUUUUUCUUCUGUCUUUCCACAUGGAUUCGAACUAACACCAUCAGCUCGCCUGCUUCUCAGACCUUCAGACUCAGAUGGAACUACACUAUAGGUUCUCCUGGGUCUGGACUUCUCAGCCUCCAUAAUCAUACGGACUGUUGUGCAGACUCAGGCAGCUCACUCGGGGCUGGGCAGCAGACAGUGAUUAUCGUCACCCCCUGCUUUCAUCCAUUACGGCGGGUGUUAGCAGAUGUGGGAUUUGAGACCCAAAGAAGUGAAGUAACCUGCCCAAGUUUACACAGCUUGGAGUAGAACCCGAGUUUCUAUGGACUCCAGAGCUCAUGAGUUCACCACUUUUCUGUGCCUCCUAACUCUAUGCCGCUGAGGACUCAGAAGAAGCCAGUGCUAAUGCUUUCUCCAGUUUCUCUCCUCUUGUGUGAACUGUGUGAACUGCCACUUUAAGACUCUCUUGGAGAAUCAUAAUCCAAGUUGCGAAGUCCAACAAUUCCUCUGGAGAAAUGGUUCUCAACUGGGGGCAAAUUUGGGCCCCAGGAGACAUAUGGCAAUGUCUGACAAUGUUUUUUUGAUUGUUACAAACAGGUUGGGGAGAGAGUCCUGCUAGCAUCUAGUUGGUAGAGGCCAGGGAUAAUGCUGAACAGCCUGCAGGACACCCCGAACCCCAUCAAAGACCCAAAACGUCAAUGGUACUGAGGUUGAAAAACCCUGGUCUGGA